UACGUAGGGUGCAAGCGUUGUCCGGAAUUAUUGGGCGUAAAGAGCUCGUAGGCGGUUUGUCGCGUCUGCUGUGAAAACUCGGGGCUUAACCCCGGGCCUGCAGUGGGUACGGGCAGACUAGAGUGCGGUAGGGGAGACUGGAUUUCCUGGUGUAGCGGUGAAAUGCGCAGAUAUCAGGAGGAACACCGGUGGCGAAGGCGGGUCUCUGGGCCGUAACUGACGCUGAGGAGCGAAAGCGUGGGGAGCGAACAGG
rnacentral:rRNA from 1 species